CGACAUUCCUUGUGCCUUUCUUCAAAGCCUCACACGCAAUUUCAUGAUUCAAGCUCUUGACCUAAAUUGUCUCAGCAUUUAAUUGAGUAAUAUAUUCUCUCAGAGACUUUUCUUCUUGUUGCUUCACCUUUUGGAGAUCUGAGGAUACUUCAUUGGUGGGAUGCAGGAUAUGAAUUUGUUCUUGAACUCAAUGGCGAGCUG
rnacentral:misc_RNA from 1 species